rnacentral:lncRNA from 1 species
UCACAGCAGCUCUUCCUCAUCUAUAAUAAACAUCCUGUUUGGACUUCUUUGAUGUUCUGUCUGUCUGUCUGCGUGUUAGGGCUCUGCAGUGUGAAUGAUGGCUGUGUAUCUGAUGAGGAGGGGGUAAUUAAAAACCCGGCUGUUCCUGGUAAUCGCUAUGAAAACAAUCAGUGAGUGCAAACAUGUUUCAACGUAACUUUUCUGCCUGGACUUCCCAACUAUAAGUUGUGGAUAUGAAGCAGUUUCUUUAUCUUUCUUUAGGUUGUGUUCAUGGCAUCUCACCACACCUCCAGGUUUCAGAAUUGAUUUAGAGUUUGGGAGUUUUGAUCUGGAGAACGACUCACAUUGUCACCAUGAUCGACUCACGGUGUUCGUAGGAACCCGAAAGCCAGUUGCCAUACUUUGUGGCAGUUCGGUCCUCAGCCCGGUGUUACUGAACAAUUCCCAGAAUGCAGAGCUCCUCUUCUCCUCUGACAUUAGCAGGGCAGGAAGUGGUUUUGUAAUUAGGCAUCACGCUGUCAGGGGACACUUUCAUCCUGUCAGGAUGUGGGGCAGUCAUCCUGGUGAAGGAUCAGUCUUCUAUCCACACCCCAAAUUACCCACAACCCUACAGCAAUGCCUGUGUCAUCCAUGCGCCACAGCAACAUGUGGUGAAGCUGGACUUUGCUGACUUUGAUGUGGAGGAGUCAAAGACGUGUGGAUAUGAUUCCCUCACUGUCAUGGGAGAUGUUGGAGGAACUGAGGAAAUUGCUGUGUUGUGUGGCUCCAGUGUCCCCCCUCCUGUCCUCUCCUAUCAUGACGUCAUGGUGCUUCACUUCCUGUCAGACAGCAUCACCUAACACAGAGGCUUCAGGGCAGUGCUGACAUUCAUCAGCAUCACAGAUCUGCAGGAUGGAGACACAACAGAGGGCUCAGCCUGAUUCUGUGCCAGCUAACCAUUGACACCCUGCAACACUGCACGGUUGAGCUUUGUUUAGUGAACUCUAUGACAAAGUGUUGUUUCAGAUCUAGUCACAGAGGGAAGGCAAUGACGAUAGAGUGGCAUCUGUUGAGCCAGUGGGACAUUUAACACUGAGGUGACAACUCAAACACCAGAGAAUUAUCAGAAAAAAGAUCAAAUAAAAACACACCAUUUCCUCCA